GGAAUAUUGGGCAAUGGAGGAAACUCUGACCCAGCGACGCCGCGUGCGGGAUGAAGGCCUUCGGGUUGUAAACCGCUUUCAGUAGGGAAGAAGCGAUAGUGACGGUACCUACAAAAGAAGCACCGGCUAACUAUGUGCCAGCAGCCGCGGUAAUACAUAGGGUGCAAGCGUUGUCCGGAAUUAUUGGGCGUAAAGAGCUCGUAGGUCGUUUGUUACGUCGGAUGUGAAAACCUGAGGCUCAACCUCAGGCCUGCAUUCGAUACGGGCAAACUAGAGUUUGGUAGGGGAGACUGGAAUUCCUGGUGUAGCGGUGGAAUGCGCAGAUAUCAGGAGGAACACCAAUGGCGAAGGCAGGUCUCUGGGCCAAUACUGACACUGAGGAGCGAAAGUCUGGGGAGCGAACAGGAUUAGAUACCCUGGUAGUCCAGACCGUAAACGGUGGGCACUAGUUGUGGGAACCUUCCACGGUUUCUGCGACGCAGCUAACGCAUUAAGUGCCCCGCCUGGGGAGUACGAUCGCAAGAUUAAAACUCAAAUGAAUUGACGG
rnacentral:rRNA from 1 species